rnacentral:rRNA from 1 species
CCUACGGGUGGCAGCAGUGAGGAAUAUUGGUCAAUGGACGAGAGUCUGAUGGAGCAACGCCGCGUGGGUGAAGAAGGUCUUCGGAUCGUAAAACCCUGUUGUUAGAGAAGAAAGUGCGUGAGAGUAACUGUUCACGUUUCGACGGUAUCUAACCAGAAAGCCACGGCUAACUACGUGCCAGCAGCCGCGGUAAUACGUAGGUGGCAAGCGUUAUCCGGAUGUAUUGGGCGUAAAGGGAACGCAGGCGGUCUGUUAAGUCUGAUGUGAAAGCCUUCGGCUUAACCGGGGUAGUGCAUUGGAAACUGGGAGACUUGAGUGCAGAAGAGGAGAGUGGAACUCCAUGUGUAGCGGUGAAAUGCGUAGAUAUAUGGAAGAACACCAGUGGCGAAAGCGGCUCUCGGGUCUGUAACUGACGCUGGGGUUCGAAAGCGUGGGUAGCAAACAGGAUUAGAUACCCAGUAGUC